GCCAAUGUAGCUCAGCUGGUAGAGCAACUCCAUGGUAAGGAGUAGGUCCGCGGUUCGAAUCCGCGCAUUGGCU
rnacentral:tRNA from 1 species